AACAAACGCUGGCGGCGUGCCUAAUACAUGCAAGUCGGACGGGGAAAGCCUUCGGGUGAGUACUAGUGGCGCACGGGUGAGUAACACGUGGGUAAUCUGCUUUAGAGUGGGGGAUAACCAGUCGAAAGAUUGGCUAAUACCGCAUAAGACCACAGGAUCUGCGGAUCUAGGGGUCAAAGGUUUUUCGCUCUAAAAUGAGCCCGCGCGGGAUUAGCUAGUUGGUGAGGUAACGGCUCACCAAGGCUACGAUCUCUAGCUGGUCUGAGAGGAUGAUCAGCCACACUGGAACUGAGACACGGUCCAGACUCCUACGGGAGCAGCAGUAGGGAAUAUUGCACAAUGGAGGAAACUCUGAUGCAGCGACGCCGCGUGAGUGAU
rnacentral:rRNA from 1 species